rnacentral:rRNA from 1 species
AUUGAACGCUGGCGGCAGGCCUAAUACAUGCAAGUCGAGCGGGGUUUUCGGACCUAGCGGCGGACGGGUGAGUAAUGCGUAGGAAGCUGCCCGAUAGAGGGGGAUACCAGUUGGAAACGACUGUUAAUACCGCAUAAUGUCUACGGACCAAAGUGUGGGACCUUCGGGCCACAUGCUAUCGGAUGCGCCUACGUGGGAUUAGCUAGUUGGUGAGGUAAUGGCUCACCAAGGCGACGAUCUCUAGCUGGUUUGAGAGGAUGAUCAGCCACACUGGAACUGAGACACGGUCCAGACUCCUACGGGAGGCAGCAGUGGGGAAUAUUGGACAAUGGGCGCAAGCCUGAUCCAGCCAUGCCGCGUGUGUGAAGAAGGCCUUCGGGUUGUAAAGUACUUUCAGCGAGGAGGAAGGGGUGUGUGUUAAUAGUACACACCUUUGACGUUACUCGCAGAAGAAGCACCGGCUAACUCUGUGCCAGCCGCCGCUGUAAAAC